rnacentral:snoRNA from 1 species
GUUGCUGUCCUUGCAUUUUAUACUGAAAUCUUGCAAUUUGAAGCUAUUCGGUCAAGCGAGUGCGGCACAGAAAAAAUCUUCCUUUGGAAAGUAAACUUUCAGACAUAGUCGAGGCGACCUUAAUCAACGCCACGAUUGUAUCACUCAAAGUCUAAUAUCU